GCAGGAUCCCGGAGACGCCUGAGGACUGGAGCGGCCGACAAGGAUCUCCGGAGUGAGCGGAGGUAAAGGAAAUCCUUGUCGCUUUAGAGGAAGGGAAAGGCGGCGUGUUGAGGGGCUCGAAAACAGCCUGGAUGAAGGUCGUGAGGAAGCGCCGUCCCGGAGGCUACUUUCAUGAGGCCGACCUUGAUGAGCCGCGGGAAGCCUCCUCACCUCUGGGUCAGUAAAGGUGCGCCGAGCAGGUAUAAGCAGUCAGGUGUGUUGCGCCGUUUUCAGACGAGGAGUGUGUUAACACUUGCGAGCGUAAUGCACCACAGCAACAUGAGGAGUGGAGGUCGUGACGCGGCCGUGAGUGUGUGUCACGAGGCGAGGCAGAAGCGCUCCGGGCCGUGACCCUCCCCCUCAACCCUUCCUGCAGCUCGUCAGGGUUGGCUCUUGCCGUGACGCCGCACACACGGAACAGCGGCGCCUUGUCUGCCCUCACGACCGCCACGCAGACCUUCCCCCUCACCCCUUGGCCUCAUCAUGUGCCAUGCUAUAAAUGAGCCAUAA